GGCCUAUUAGCUCAGUUGGUUAGAGCGUCGUGCUAAUAACGCGAAGGUCACAGGUUCGAUCCCUCUAUAGGCCA
rfam:Brassica oleracea var. oleracea cultivar TO1000 chromosome C9, whole genome shotgun sequence